AGUAGAAUGAAAGCCCAUGUGUAUUUUUAGCAUUCCUUGUAAUCAUGUCACCUUUUGAAAUGAAAGCAUCAGUGCAUUAGACCAGAGAAAAUGGGGAGAGGACAUCUUCUACCAAGAGAAAUGUCAAGCUCAGGGGGGAUUGACUGAGUCACACAUUGACUGAGUGAUAUUUGUGCUGGCCAGAACAGACCCAUCUCCCUGCUGCAUGUUUCCUCCCUCUUCCAGCUCCUCAGUUUUAUGUGGGUGCUUCCAUCAUUCAUCUCUGCUUGUUGUCUCCUCACCAUCUCUUCCAAAGUGAUUCUGCCCUCCAAAAUGUAUCCAGCUGGAAUAAAACCCAGCACAUGAAACAUACUUUAGGAUGUUCACCCAGUUUCCUACCCACAAGGUUGGCAGCCCUGGUAGGGUGAUGUUACAUGCCUUGGUGGAAGCUACUUAGCAACAAUUUUUUCUUUUAUAUUUUCUUUUGCCUAUGAAAAAAUAUAUCUAACACAAAGAAGAGAGCAGGGUAUCUGUUCAGCUAUGAAUGUUUAUUUGCUGUUCACCUCUAAAAUGUCAAUGAGCAUUUGUGCUGUCUAGUUUGAACUGACUGUUGGCCUUGGAGAAAUUACUGAUGUUGCUCUUGAAUGAAAUUGUUCAUUACUUUCAAAGGAGGUAGAAAAAGUCUGUCAGCAUCUCCAUUUGUAAUUAGACAUGUCUUUGCUACAUCCAGGAAAGGGAGUAAUUCCUUCUUAUUCCUAACCUUUAUCUAGCCUUCAUACACACAAAACCUAAUUCACACUAUCCAGAGAAACGAUCCUCUGCAGUGGAUAAAUUCCUUGGUGCUGUUAGCAGGCAGCUCAAGUGCUUAGAGGUUUCUUGUAGCUGUUAACUCUCUGCCCCCUGGCUCAGCUUUGGCAGGAAAUGAGGGCAUGAUCUGUGAGAAUUAGAGGAGUGGCUGGCACUUGCUUUGAGCACAUUAUUCAGUGCUGGGUAUUUGCCCCUGCAAGGUAAAGAAGCAUGAGGGAUACAAGUGCUUGAGGAGCAUGGCUGCCACAUGCCCAGGCAUGUAUCCAUUUACUGCACUUCUCUGUGCUUUGGUGAAGGGGUCAUCUGUGGCUCAGGUGACCUUCCUUACUGAACAAUGUGGAUGUGCAAUUAGUGCUUAAUCCUUUAAACAGGCCCUGUUGUCACAGAGCUUCCUUUAGGUGCCCAAAAGUUUCAGGCAAUCCUCAUCUCUUCCCCCUUCCUUAUUCCACUUCUUCCCUUGUGUAUUGUAUUAAAUCCUUUCUUCACUGUACUGGCAGCAGAAGUGUGUUAUUUCUGCAGUGUGCCAAGAUUUUGGUCUCAUGUUUACCCUUCCUCCUGCUGCAUGGCAGCUACCCAUAAGAUUAAUUAAGCCACGGUGCUGGCUUUCUCCUCUUUCUUGUAUAUUUUCACUUGAUAUGCUGCUUCAUGACUUGACUGAAGGUAGAAAUGGAAACUUCAUGCUGAGAGUAUGGAGACUCCCUGAGAGCAGCCAGGCCACUAGUCCAGCAAGCAGGCACCAGUGGAGGGAACUGGGCUGGGCAGCAGCAUGGUCCCCAAUCUCUGUGCUGCCCCUGGAGCUGCUGCUGGAGCCAUGCUAGGAGGUGGAGAGGUGCAGAGUUGGUGGGGAGGCUUUAGAGCUGCCCACUGCAGUGUAUGAAUGGGAUUGGAUAGCCUUCCUCAGCCUGCAUCAGUCCCCCCACCUCCCUUCUUCCAGUAAAAGUGGGUUCACCCAGAGUUGCUCUCUUGGUGACUUGAGCUCAUGGUACAAAUAUGGGGCAUGGCUUUGUCAUCCACUUGUGUGCACAUCAGUAUGGUGCCUUGCUAAAGCAUCCCCAGUGCCACCUGAACAAGACCUCUCUGGCUCCCCAGUGAGUCUUGGCUGAGUUAGGGAGCAGCCCUGUGUACACAUAAGCAUUUGCUUUAGGGAUUCGCCCAUCAGUUAAAGUGGAAUUACAUGCUUAACUUACUAUAUUACUCUAGGCUUUGCUUAAGUAUAUAAUUAAGAAUUAUGCACUCAAAGAUAACAAUUUGUAGGGCUGGGGCUUGCUGUCCUGCUUCCACUUCCCUAAAACCACAGGCAAGUUACUUGUGUUCUUGUCUUUUUCUGCCUGGGCAAUGUUUCCAGCUGGGAUCAGAGUGUUAGGGAGACAGGAGGAGGGACAGAGCAUACAGACCGAUAGGAAUACUUCAUUGUUCUUGGAAACCACUUCAAACCAUAGGAGUAUUUCAGAGGUCCAAAUAUAGCUGAAGAAGCUUAUUUAAAUGCUGCACAGGGCCAAAUCCUGGCUGUCCCCCAACUCAAAGUCUUUAUUUGAGGCAUCUUUCCCUCUAUGGGUGGGUUGGGAAGGGACUGGUGGCCGUGGUUGCCCUCAGCCAAGCUGCUGGCAGGGUUGUGUCCCAGAACUGCCACCUGGCCAAGGACUCUGUGGCCAGCAAGCUCAGCUUUGCAGGCCAGAGCCCUUGUGCACCUCCCCUGCCAGUGGUUUCUUCCAGUUCUGUCAGCAUCCCAGGGGACAGCACUGGGGCAGGGCAAGCUGAACCUCCCUUGUGGUUAAACCAGCAUUGAAGGCUCAAAACAAAGAGGGCUGACUGGGCACUGUGACCACAGCCUCUUCCUGGAGACACCCAUUUGCAGAAUGAUCCCACAAAGACCAUUUGGCUUGAGUACCCAGACAGCAGCAAGCAAGGAGCUCCCAUGUAGGAAUAGGAACCAGUAACAGUCACAGGCAGUGCCCUGCAUCCAUCAGCUCCUACAUACUUGUGUCUGCCAAUAGUACUUUUGACAGGGAGAGGUUCCCUAGUCCCUCUGUGAUUUUGGAAAGCUUUGGGUAUAGUAUGAGAGCAGUCAGAGGAAAGCUGUAUUGCCUCCUAAGGAAAGGAGUGUACUUUGGUGAUGCCCACCGCUGUUCUUCAUCAUUACCCCUCUUGCCUCUCGUUUUAUCUGCAUGACCUGUAUUUGUAAAGAUGCAGAAUGCAGAUUAAGGAACUCAAAUCCAUCUAGUGUUUAUGUGAUUUUUAAAUACAAGAGGCAGUUUUGGGGGUAGGUUUUCCUUAUCUUCUAAUCAUUUGCACUGCUUUUCCAGGACCAAUUUGCCACAGCUCAGAAAAGGUCUGCUUUGCUUUUGUUGUUGUUUUUGUAUGUUUGUUGGUUUGGGUUUUAAAACACUUUUACUUGUAUUUUCUUGUUCUCUGCUUUUUUCUCUCUUGCCCAGACUGGAUCUGACACUUCGUGGUGCCUUUUGCACCAUCAACUUCCCCUUUGGGCUCCUCAAGGUGUUACUGCAGGUGGGAUGUGAUGGUAGGCAAGGACUAUUGCAUGGUUCCUGUGGGCAGCUCUUCUCUGCUCACAUUGCAGGGGCAGAAAGACGUGCAACCACCUGAGCAGAGCUGAGAGAGAUAUCUUUCUGUGUAUGUGCUGUGCAAACAAAUAGCAGGGGUUGUCAGAAGUCCUCUCUUCUGGUAUUGGCAUUGUCUCAAAAUCUUGGAAAAGUGUUGUACCUCUUCCAGGCUGCCUGCUUACACAAGCCACACUGUCUAAACACAUUGAGUAAUCCCUGCCUCAAGCUCAAAAAAUUCUGCCUGAAAUAGUGUAGAUCAGUUAAAAAUAUAAGACAUUAAUUUUAACAUCCUAAGUUACUGAAAGAUAGUCAUGUUCCAGAAUGCAUUGUACCACAGGCUGGUUGCUCCCAUAACUCAACAUUUGGGACCUUACUCUAUUCAGAUCUUGCUGUCAAAUGUCACUUGUGUAUGCAGAUACUUCCAGGCUUAAAAUCCCAUGUCCCUUAGGAGCUUUCCCCUAGGCAACUUCAAUGAUGGUGUCUUCCCUUUAUCUGCAGAAAUGUAUUUCCCAGUGGUGUUUGGAUGCUGCCUUCUCCGUGGUGGCAUGGCUAUGGCUAAUGAAAUCUUUGCGGUGCUCUUUCAGACCUUUUCAUUUCUGUGGUGAAAGGACUGAUUCUGGGUGGUUUAUCUAGUUUUAUGAAGAUUCUUGGACUGAAUCAUGGCUGUACAUACCCUUGUUUCUGCAGCAACAAGCUGCUUACAGUUUGUUUUCUCUGUAUUAAAGUGCUAACCAGCUUGAACAAUUAAAUAA
rnacentral:lncRNA from 1 species